UUUAGACAAACAAGUAUCAGCAGUUACAGCGCGAUAGGGCGGGACUAUGCUUUGGAUGAUGUUCGGAGAAAAGACGCAAAAAUUGGCUCUCAGAUUGAAUGAACUGAAUGAAUAUACAGGUUAUGGUUUGCCCUCGUUUCUUGGACGGAGGGACCAAUGCAGUGAGCACUGUGUCAACCAGCUGGAUAACUGACUCUGACCCAACAGAAACAUCAUCGCAGUCCUUCUAAAGUUAUCUGGCAAGGUGAAACUGGGGAAGGAAGGCACCAUCACUGUCUCAGCCCAUUGUUGGAAGACUGCAAAAGCACAAGCUACAGCCAGUGGGACGGCACGAGUGCUACUGAUGGAACUCUUUAAUGUUGAUGUUUUUCUGAACUUUAAGCAUACCUUUAUCUGUUUUUGUAUUAUACAUAUAGUAGUAUAUGGUAGUAUAUAUUCUUGAAUUUAUAGUGAAGUGUAUUGUUAAAUAUAUAAUAAAAUAAAUUGUGAUGUGUGGUAAUAGAUGGUAUGUGUAUUAUUGAUAGUAAUAUAUUAAAAUAUAUUCUUGAAUACAUAGUGAAGUGUAUUGUUCAAAAUAUAAAGUACAAUAUAUAGUACACUGCAAAAUAUGUGGUAAUAAAUGGUACAUAAUAAUUGAUAAAUCAUGUUCAUAUGUUGCCAUUGCUGUUACAGUUACCAUUUUAGCUAUAUUGGUAUCUGCACAUUCGACCAGUCAGUCAGUCAAUCUACAUUUUAAAUUUAACAGUUGAGAGUCUUAAACCAACAGAAAAUAAAACUGCUUGAAUUCAAAAGAGAAUAAAUGUGCUAAAAUGUG